UACGGGGGGAGCAAGCGUUGUUCGGAUUUACUGGGCGUAAAGGGCGCGUAGGCGGUCAGCACAAGUCAGUUGUGAAAUCUCCGGGCUUAACUCGGAAAGGUCAACUGAUACUGUGCGACUAGAGUGCGGAAGGGGCUACUGGAAUUCUCGGUGUAGCGGUGAAAUGCGUAGAUAUCGAGAGGAACACCUGCGGCGAAGGCGGGUAGCUGGGCCGACACUGACGCUGAGGCGCGAAAGCCAGGGAGCAAACGGG
rnacentral:rRNA from 1 species